rnacentral:rRNA from 1 species
UACGGAGGGGGCAAGCGUUGUUCGGAUUUACUGGGCGUAAAGAGCGUGUAGGCGGUCUAAUAAGUUGGUAGUGAAAGCCCAGGGCUUAACCCUGGAAUUGCUAUCAAAACUGUUUUACUGGAGACAGGUAGGGGAUAGUAGAAUUCCUAGUGUAGAGGUGAAAUUCUUAGAUAUUAGGAGGAAUACCGGAGGUGAAAACGGCUAUCUGGGCCUUGUCUGACGCUGAGACGCGAAAGCGUGGGGAGCAAAC